GUAAAUCAACUUUGAUUAAAAAACCUGCACUAAAAAGACUUCUGCGACAUUCAGACAUAUUCGUUUGAGGCAAGUGUUUGAUUCUCUAAUCACAGAUGCCGCAGAAUGCCCACUGUGAAUAAAAGCUGACAUAAGAACUUUGAUAAAUUUCAAGACCAAGUUUUCUCGUAAGUUUCGAGGAUUUUGAGGUUAACAACAAAUCAUUAAGAAGUUAUAAAUUUGUUUUCAAUGGUUAUCUGUAAUGUAGCUUAUCAGAGUUAGUACCGAAUCGCGUAGCGCGUUAUCACCAGCCACUCGCAAUGAUCCUCGCACCGUCUCAGUCCAAGUGGAUAUACGAUUUUGCCUGAAAGACCAGUUUCCAACAACAACUAAAUGGUUGGUGUGAAGCGAAUUUUUAACUCAAACAUGACUGAAGAACUCUCCGGGGUCACAGUUGUGAUCAUCAUCGGAUUGGGCGCCCUGACAUUCGUGCUGUUGUUUAUAUUCGCCAAGAGGCAAAUCAUGCGGUUUGCAUUACGGAAUCGACGAGGACCACACAUACCCAUAGGACACAAUGCAAAAAAGAUAUUUAAGAGAGAAAUUGAGCGUCGCAUUGAGUUAAUUCCUAGAAUUUUAACGGAGCCUCAACUAAUGGAUGAAGAUCCACGUUUUAUUGUAGCGCCCGGGCAUCAAAUUCCCGUUCAUUAUUAUCGUUUCAAAGCAGUUGAUAUGGUAAAACUACUGGAAAAAGAAAUAAAGCAACAGGAUCCUUGUCUUACCAGACAUCCAAAUGAGAAUUUACGUGCAUACUUGUUGUCAACAUUGGCGGCCACAUUAAAUGGUAGUGGUCAAAGACUAAUACAUCAAUACUGUGAUUUAUAUGAGCAUGCAAGACAUGAUCCCAGCUAUUUUGGUGAGGAAGAAUAUAAGGCAUAUCACCGGCUUUACAUGAAAUUGAUGGAUGCGGCAAAAUUACUCAAAUCGACAAACAAUAGCCGCAAGACUUCGCCAAAUAGAACGCCGCAGAAGCAGCGCCUGAAUCCCGAGAAGAACCGUAAUCUACUUGAUCCUUCGCGUCUAAAACCACUGCCAGGUUUGCUGAUCGUCAAUAACGAUGAGAUACUCUGUGUGACCGAGCGCAACGAGCGCGCCACGAAUCUGAUCUUGCCACUAGCCGAUAACGAAACGUCGGUGUAAGGAAAUACAAAUGGUUGUUCACAUUCUUUAUUCUACGCCGCACCUUCACCACAACAAUAAACACCGGCCCAAUAGUUGUUUUGUAGCCAGCGCUACAAAUUUAUCUCGAUGUACUUCAUCCAGCAGAACUUCUCGUUGAAGACUUCGUGCGACCGCAUCACAAGCAGCCCAUGUUUAAAUCGGCGCGCGAUUUGCUCGCUCAGCACAUUGCGUUUGUAGUUCGGGUUCAUCGUAAAGUCGUACAUGCUCUCUAAGAUCUGCAAAGUGCUUACCGGAGCUACAUGUUGGGCGAAAUGCGCAGUCCUCAAUAAUCUUCCAAGCCCAAAUGGAAACACCGCACUGAAUUCUUCUAACGAUGUAGCAUUCGCAACGAAAAUGUGAAAACCUGACGACACGACCACCGCAAUUAUGAAGACCGUACUUGCAAAGAUCACAUUUCGCAUGUCUUUUCGUUCAGCCAACUCAAUGUUAAUCUUGCUAGUGAGUUCACUUAACCAGGCCGGUAAACCAGGGUGUGCAUGAUGUUUUAUAAAGACGGGCGUCAGUCGAGAGCAGAUUAUUUCAAAUUUGCUAAAAGGUAAAUAAUGUAAUUUUUACACGCGACAAGGAGACAGAACUUACAAUGCUGGUUGUACGCAUGACUUCAAAAUUCGACAAUCAAUGACAGGAUCAAGCAUACUAAAAGGCCUUCUCUCUUCUGAUACCGCUGAAACGCAGUGCACAGACAAACAUCGGAACAUAAUGGAAUCAUUGACUGUCUCAAACUGUACCGGCGAAUAAUCGUUCAAAUAUGGCCGAGGCACGGCUCCCACAACCGGUAAAAUUUUCUCAGAAACAUCUGAUUCUAACUCGGCAACGUCGAAACAUGCUAUGACGACUUCUGCAAUCGCCGCUUUGUUUGAAUCCGACGAUUUCGGACUUUUCAAGAUCAUUUCAAGUUUUUCAAGAAUAAAAUCAAUUUCUUUAUGGGAGUGUUCCAUCAAUAAACAUCCCAGUUUGAUUGUUUUCUUAAAGAACGGUUUCAUAAUAACAGGCUGUAUCGUGUUGCACAAUAUGUCCAAAUUCUUAUACACAUACAUAACUGCUUCAUUUAUCACAUUUCGAUCUGUAAGUAGUUUUAUGUAAUUCUCCAUAAAACGGCGAGCGCUUCCCGAGACACUCGACUGUCUUGCUGCGAUCGUAAGAACAUACUCCAGCAUAUCCUUGUUAUCUUUCAAUUCAGCCAAAAACGUCCAAUCCAUCGGUGGUAAGGGAAGAACAUACUUAGUGUUGAGUAUACGUAAACAUUCGAUAUAAACAUCUCUAUCGACGGUGUGAAGUUUUGAAACAUUUUUGCGUACGAAUUUCGCAACUGCUGCAAGGACAUUAUCUCUGGUUAAACUCAUGUGUAUUGGUUCUCCUUGACCGUCCGCCACUGCAUAAUUGCUCCUUUUAUACGACUUCAAAUCCACGUCAAUAAAUUUUAUCAGCAUAUUGGCCGCAGAUCUUAAACCAGCUUUCGGCCCAAAUUGUAACAGAUUAACCCAGCAUGCACCUGCCAAACUACCCAGAAUUGAAUUAUCAUUGGUUAUAUGCGUGUAAACAGUGGGGAACCCAAUAGCAAGCUGUUCAAUGCCAAAAUUACUCAAAUUUGUGUAAACCGCUUCGAGCACCAUUUGUGAUGGAUGCGUUUCAGUGUAUGAAAAGAGCCUCUUGACAAUCUCUUCGCACUUUUGAUCGGUUAUAUCUGGCAUACUUGCAACUUCCCCCAUAAUACCGCACAUUCCUGCUAUAACACCAUCGCUAUCUGUAUUUUCAAACCGCUGCACAAUAUUCAGCAUUGUUGUAUAUGGAUCGAAACCGACACAGAGAUAUUUUAACGCUUCAAAUGAAAAUUUUAUCACAAGAUUAUUCUCUAUUGUUCUCAUCAGGGUCUUAGACACGAUGCUGGCUAAUUCUUUACGAUGGUUCUCUAAAUUUUUUGUACACAUUAGUCGACAUAAUUCUCUAGUAACAAAUGCCUUUGUAACAAUCAAUUCAUCGUUUCUUUCUUCGGGAUCUUUAACUAAUAGCUCCUCUAAAUAUGGAAAGCAAAUUUUAUCUGUUAGGACUAGAUCGAACAUGAGCGAAAUAGCGAAUGCGUGCAUCUGUGUUGAAACCACGCUGAUCGACUUAAUUGCCAUCACGAUAGUUGAGAUAUUUUCUUUUAAUACUCCCAUUUUGGCCACAGCUCUCAGACACUCCAAAUGAAGAUCUGGUUGGACUGAAUUGGAUACCUUCUGCAGUAAUACUGGAAGCAUGCGAGUUGUGUACCGGACUUGAAUUGUGCAAGCUUUCAGGCACAAUUUUAGUACUUUGAGUGUAAAUUCUGAUUCGUUGUCAUCGUUAAGCAAUGCCAGAAGAAAGGUGAAUUGCAUCUCAAGAAUUUGUGGAGAAGCAUCUGACAGUGCGUCCAGAAAGUCCAUGUUAUAUUCGUUGGCGAGGAUGUGUGAAUAAAUAAAGGGCUUUUCAUCCAGGUAUUCGAAGGUAGACGGUUCGAUGUCGUUAUGUUCAAAUUGGCGCGAAAGAACUUCGUCAAUUUUACCGCUCACUUUUUCGCUGAGUAUUGGGGUGGUGGCAAAGUGCAUUUUCCAAAUAAGUAAGCAGCUUUUUAGAACGUUUGUUACCAGUGUCGGAUAUUGUUGGGUUGCAAACAUUAAAUUUACUGGAAACAAAGAAAGUAUUUGUACAGUUUUGCUAGGUAGUCUGCUAAUAAUUAAAAAAUAACUUACUGCAUUCACACAAUGUAUCCAUUGAUGUAAUUGGAGCAAUUGGAAGGCAAUCAGCUAACAUCACUAUUUCCAGGGAAUAAUCACGCGAUGAACUAUUUCUCAAAUGCUGGUGCAAAAUCCAGAUCGCUUCAGCUGCAUCUUCGUCAUUUUGCAAGGAUUCGUGAAUAGAUAAAAUAACAUAUGAUAUCAUCUGUGGCACUUCAGGUAAUAAAACUUUACAGUAUCUCAAUGA